CCCCAUCCAUGCAGGUGUGGUCCAUUUGCACAGGGGCGUCCCCUCCACAUGGCCGUGCUUAUCUGUGCAGCCAGCCAGGGGGGCUUGCUUCUCUCUGAAGGGUCCCUUUGUGCCUGCAGAGAGGCUUGGCUUCAGGUGGCCCAGCCCGGGACAGCUCUGCCCAGCUCAGCCUGGCCUGGAGGUGAUGCUGGCCCAUGGGGAGCCAUAAAGCAACCCAGCAUGGGAGGAAGGGGACCCAUAUCUGACCUAGAGCAUUGCCAAAGCGAGGCCGUGAAGUUUAAGAGGAACAUCUGAACGGAUAAAGGCUUCACAGCCUUGAAAAGCUAUGGCUGACGGGACUAUAAGAGGGAUCUAUAAAAUCCUGGAUGUCAUGGAGAGGACUGGUAGGAAACAAUAAUUUUCUGUUUCCAGCUGCAGAACUGGAAGCUACUGAAGAUAACUGGCAGUGUUCAGAUUCAGACAAACCAAAGGGAACGGUUCUGGAGGAUGUGCUAUCACUGCAGGACUUCCAGAGGGCGAAGGCUGUCAUGGCUUCAAGAGAGAUCUGGGUAACCUGGUGGAAGGAAAAGCCAAGGGCUAUUCAAAUCCAAGGUCUUCACUGUCUCUGAGUCCAUGUCCCUGCAGCCGUGACCGUGUACUGGGGACAUGAACAGGUCUGCCCAGGUCCUGCCACAUUUCCCCGGGCCUCUGCAAAAGGUCCUGGGUGCUGUGGGGACAGUGGACCAUUGGCUUGGCCUGCAAAGGCUCAUCACUGUAGGAUGCAUUGAUGCAAUCUUUUGGAUGAAUAAUGGGGGGGUUAGAGAAAGAGGUGAGCCUUCUCGCUCUGCCUCCCCUACCCAACACGUCCCAGGUGGAGAGGAACGCUUCAGUGCGGCCAGGAAUUUCCUUGACUUUCUUUGGCCUUUCGUAAAAUGUCAGAGUCCCUGCUGGCUGUAAAAUUCAGGCCCUUUGAACUCAGCUCAGGGAGGAGCAGGAUUUAAGGCACGAGCUGCAAACUGCCCGGUGCCCAGUCCCGCUUCCAUCAGUGCUGGGCUGCCCGCCUUGCCGAGGGGGGACGGAGCUCAGUGUGGGUUUAAAACCAAAACACGUGUUGCAUGCUUUGUUGUUGCUAGGGCCUCCUAAUUUCUGAGUAGGUGUUUAAUUUAUUUUCCUCUUUAAUUUUUUUUAGUGUUAAGAGGCAUGAAUCAUUCAGUUCCAUUUACCAAAAGGGCUUUGCUCCUGGAUUUUGUUUCUGUGGAUAUUUGCAGCAGCUACCUCCUGUGAGUAGGAUGUUGUUACUGCUGUGUUAAGGGGCAAGAUGCUGGUAAGGGAAGCUGAGAAAACUGAGUAAUUUCUGGUUUGUAAACCGCAGAAAGAUGCCCCACACAUUGAUGAGAGAGAUAGUAGAGAGAUAGAUAUGUAGCAGCAGAAUAAGAACAAGAAGUUUAAGAAAAUUAGGUUUGAGAUUGAACGAUAUGUUGUAAAUGGGGACUGCAGUAGUGAUGGUUGCCAGAAGUCAGCUGCUAUUUCUUUCCUCAUGGUUUCUUGACUGUGCAGAAAUAUUAAACAUAACUAAAGGAUGUGGCAACCUCUCUUUACAUAUAUUCCUGUUCUAAAUGUUUUAUCUUUGUGCCUCACCAGGGAGGGUUUAUGUCUGUAUGCACUUGGAUAGUUGUGAGUGUGCCAUGCCCCUAGCUUGGCAUUGUGAACAAUAAGGAGAAAACGGAUAGGAAACAAAUGUUCAUGUUUCUGAUAUAUUGCCAAAGCUAGAAGUUGAUAAUUUAAUCUGCCGCCUAACAGCUUGAUAGUCUACAAAAAGUCCCACUUUUAUCCACACACAAACUGUACAGCUCACUGCCACAGAUGUUGGGGAGGCCGAAGAGAUAAAUCCGUCGUCUGUAGUAAUUAAAUAGAUGGCUGGGAUUCAAACCUAGGUCAAAUAUCUAAUUUCUCAGAUUUAGUGUGGCAAUAUCUUCAGUUAUUUCUGUAAUUUAUGCAGCUGUCAUAAAUACUUCUGUGCACGGAAACCUACAGAAGUUCCGCUAAGACACUUAUACACCUUUGAGUAAAGCAAUAGGCAUUUCUUUAAGGUGGAGUUUUUUGUUGGAGCACCAGAUCCCUUUCUGUGCUUCUUCUGGAAAUAGUCGGUCAUCCUGUAGCCAAGCUGCCACCCGUGCAGGUGCCUCAGCCAGAGCGGAUCAGGUGAGCUGCAGAUAUUGCCCUGGUGCCCGCAUGCCCUGCAGCACACUGCCCUUGUGCCCAGCGCUGCUAGUGCAUUAGGGCCGGUCACCUCAGCACCAGGCCUCAUGGAUGGAGUGAAUGUGGAGACUCCCUCGGUACACAAAAUGCAGCACUGUGUGGAGCAGGUCUGGAACCAGCAGCAUGAAAAGUGCCAUCCGUUUUGCAAGGAGGAAAUGCUUAGUGGGGCUGCGCAUGGUUAAAACUCAUGGGCUGUGCCUGGGCCUGAGCUCCAUCACCGUGUCCUCUGCAGAAACCAGAGCUUUGGAUGGAUGAACAGAGAUGUUCCAGGCACAGGAUCUCUUCUCCUUUAAACCAGGGUAUAAAACAUGUUGCUGGUUUUGUGCCUGUCCGCCCUUACAUGGAUCUCUUUACAAUUUCUGGUCACGCAAAGAGCUGCAUCAUUUACAAGCGGGAUUCACAGGAAUGCAGCUCUGCUGCUAAGGAGCAGCUGGAGGACACACUUAAAUAAAGCAGGAAUCCUCCUCGCAAGCUGUUUCAUGUUAUCAUGAAAGUUUAUAGAUUGAGAUAAAUCUCUUCUGACCUAUGUGACCCCCUUGGCAAGCAAUGACAGGUCCCACUGAGCCUGAGCCCAGGUUCUUUUAAUAUUUCUGAAACUUCUGGAGCAUUCCUUACUCCUCGUGAACUUGACCAAGUACAAAGGGAAUUUAAUCUCCUUCUCUCACGGCUCCAAACUCCCAGGGUCUGACUUUCUUGCUUUCUCUGCAGACAGUCAUCCAUCUCCCUGCAAAUGGGAGACUUCUCUGCGCACUGGAAGCGCUCCUAGCUUCACCCAACAAUAAAUCACUCAGACCUGACUACCUCCGGAAAAUCUUUGUAGCUGUGACGUGACAUCACAGAAAUCCUGGGCAGGGAGCACCGGAGCGGUAUUUCUCCUUAGCAGGGUGUGGCUGCUGAAAAGGGUUGCUCCGUGUUGCAGCCCACCAACCUUCAGGUGCUGCUGAUGUGGAAAAUGCCUUUCCAGUGGCUGGGUGACCAACCCGUACAAAAGCCUUCUGCCAGGCUCAUUCAUAGGCAGCUCCUGGUGGUUGUCCACGAGCCUGAGAGCCACCCAUCGCCCUGGGUUCCUUCAGGGCAGACCGGAGGGGAACGGCGAGGGGCUGCACGGAGAGCAACGGCUGGGGCGGCUCGUGGCAGGCUGCUUUCCAGUCCACAUGUGGACUUGUUAGUCCUCGCUGCUCGCUUUUGUACCACACUUGUAGGGAACUGAAAGUUGUUUAUCUGCAGUCAGGGCUGCAAAACCCCUGCAGGCGUAUGACAGAUUCACUGGGAUCUCUGCCUUGCUGAGAGCCACCUUGCCUGCUAAUGUUUGAGGUUUUCUUAGAGGUAGUUUUGUGAUUUUCUUUCUCCCCCUUUUCAGGCCCCCAGCCUGUAUGUUCCAGACCUCGUACCUCCCUCCCCUAUUGCACAUUUAUGGGAUGCACAAAGGCAUUUUACAAGAGCCCGAUUUAGAUGCGAUGGUAACACAGGUAUUGCUAAAUGUUCUCUGAGUUGUGUUUUCAACUGUUAGAGCAGCUCUGCCCAAAUAAAGCUCUUACAGAGAGCUUCAUACUGAAAGAAAAUUGCGAUCAAGAUCAUUAUACAGAAUGAGUAAAGAAUGAGGCAUGGGGCUGGGUUUGGCCUACCAAACACUGACAGACACAACUGAAGUCAGUAUUUCGAAGCAGGCUGUGCCCUGGGAUCACUGCUGGAGCGGAGCAGGAGAGAUCAGUGUGGCCAGGCUUUCCUAAAGCAGUGGUGGAAAUGCAAGCUUUGGGAGGGGUUGGAUGGUGGGAGGUGGCUCCACAGUCAGAAGGCCACAAAGAUGAACCAGGAGAAUCUGUGGGAUGGUGACAGCCAGACAGGUGAGGGCAGAAAGCCCCUGCAGGUAAAUGUCCUGCUGUCGGAGUCAGACAUGGCAGGUAGGCAAUACAAAGCAUGGAAAUGAAGCCAUUCAGCAGAAUUAAGGCAGCAAGGGGGUGAAAAAAAACCACUCCCAUCUCAACAAUAUGUACAUUUUCAUCAGGCCAAACUGAAAAAAAUGCAUUGAGGAGGGUAUUACAGACCCAGUAAUCCAGAAAAAGCUCCUGCUUUCACUCAGCAAAACCCUUCACCGAACCUGGUAGGAUGAAAAGUAGGGAAGGGUGUGGAAUAAAUCACUCCGUGUAUAUUUUGCAUAUGUAUAAGCAAGAAAAGCUGGAUGGUGACUAGCAUGGCUGUGAGAGCACUCUUAAAGAAUCAUUUAAGUAGCAUAUGCUUUUAAAACUCAUCCUUCUCAUGUCAUUAGCUAGCACACAGACCGGGGAGCAGGUCCAGCAUUCCCCGUUACAGGUGUGUAUGCAAACUUGAGAGACACAAAUUGUGGCUGCGCAGUGGUAGAUGCACAGCAUGCUUUUAGCACGCGGCAGCUUUUCAAGCCUUCCUUCCUAAAACAUUUAUGUUCCCAGAAAAGCCAGUAAAUAUCCUCAUGCUUGCUCUUUAUGAAAUUAUAGUCAAGGAUGGAUGUCAAGCAUUUUGCUGCUUGCAAACACUUUCACACAGCUCUCACUUUAGUAUUGCAGGGCUCUUAAUAAAGCAUAAUAACUAAGUUCAAGCUUUUUUGGGAAGGCUUCUGUGGUCCUGCUGCCAACCAUAAUCGACAGGCAUUUGAAAUUCAUGAGCUCAGUCAAUGCUGUGAUUACAUUUUUGAAGAAACUGUCCAAACAGGCUGCAGCAGAGUGCAGUUUCCUCAUUCAUUGUAUUACUUCUGUUCCCCAUCCUUGUACAAUAAUCACUGAGUGCAGAGGCUUUGCUUUGGGUAUGGCUCAGUGACAGGCUACACAAGGAGCUGUUUUGACAGCUUUGCAGCUGCUUUUGGGCCCGUUAUGUGGUUAGGCUGCUGAUGGGCUGUCUAGACAAGCACGCCUUCUAGGAUGCCAUGUUCUUCUGGUUCACAUUUGAUUAUGAGACAGGCUUUUUCAUUUGUAAUGCAAACAAGCCCCUGGAAAAAAAAAAAAAUCUUCUGUGGGAUUUCUUGUACAAAAGCCCCCUUUUUUCUGAAGGGUGAUUUGAUUCAUACAUUUCCGUUCCCCACUGUGGAUAUAUUUUCAGCUUUCCCAUUUGGGCAUUGGGUUUCCUGAAAAAAAAGGGUGAGGUGAAAGUGCUGAGCCCCUCAGAAAUCGCUCACAUUCUGCAGAGAUGCACAGCUGUGCAAAUAUGAGGCCUUGUGUGGAACAAGUGGACUGAAAUCCACCUGGUUCCAUUGCUUCUGCUUAACGUGCCUGGCCUCAGGCUCUCUGUGAGGCUGCCAAGGGAAGAGUGAACUUUCCUGGCCAAUUUUUCAUGGGCAAUGCAAAACCCACUGGGCAGUUUGACCUGGUUCUUGGUUCGAUUCUGCUUUAAGGCCACCUCUUGCCAUUGCCAACCACAGCUGCAAGCAGUUCUGCAAGACUGAAUGCUGGGCUUGGUCUGAAAGGACUGUUGAAGGGGAUGAGUUUCCUGACCAGAAUGGACGCAGUCAUCAAUUUCCCUGUAAAUGAAGCAAUUUAUCCUAACAGUGAGGAGAGAGGACCCUGAAUCAAGAGAGAAGGUUUUGCCCAGGGACUUCAAUGCUGGCUCCUUGUUGACUGUUGCUGCUUCAUUUGUCUGCUUGGUGCUCUUGCUCUGCUCACCCAUCUCUUGCCGUGGGCACAAGAUGCCUUUCCAGAUGGCUGCAAAUACAAGCACAUUGCUAUAGGCUUGCUAUAAACGGUGAUAUUGCCUGCAUGUAGAGAGGGCAUUAACAGCUCUGUUUGAAAAGUGCAGCUUGGGAAGUCUCAGGGAUUUCAGAGAAAGCUGGAGAAGAUUUAUCUUGCUGCAUCCUCGUACAUCCCCUGACUUUGCUCCCAUGUAGCUGCAGAUGUGAACCAAGAGGUCAUGUUGAAGCUUCCUGCUAGAUUUUGCAUUCCCCCUGGAAAAAUGGCUGCGAGAGUUAAGUCUCCCUCUUCCACUUCAUGCUGAGCUCCUGUGAAUGACCUGACUUCACUAAACUCACAGGAAUAUCAUAACCACGCACAGAUGUCAGCACAGGCGGCUCUGCUCCCCUCUGCAAACGCUGUGCAGAGGCUGGGCGUGCAGCUGGGCUGCCUGCCAGCUCGGGGAAUGGUUCUGCUCACGGAGACGGGGCCAGACCCCUGGAUAAACUCCACUGCUUCUCUCCAUAAAGGUUUUGAAGUAGGGUAAGUGGGACGCAUCAUGUAGACCUAAAUAAAUCAGAGAUUUUCAUUUCUGAUCUCACCAUUGCUGAAUGGGCUCUCUUCCAAGCAUGUUUUAGUUUGAGGAAAAUCUGUCUUCUGCAUUUUUUUCUGAAGCCUUUCUCUCCUCUUCUGUUGACCAUCCGACUUUUGUUUAUGAAUUUAGCAUGGUACAUUAUUACGAAGUUAGCACAUUAUUGAAUUGUUUGAGCGUGGCUUAGCCCUAAAUGAGCAUAUGGUAAUAACAUAAGAUCAGAGCCAAGAAAAACAGAAAAAUUCUCAAUGUGUCAGGAGGGAGAAAACACCUUGCUAUGUCUUAAGGAGAAUAAAGAAAUCUCCUAACAUUCACAGCCUUGUCCAGCACCCCAUGAUCCUGUCUCUAGAUCAGAGCAGCAGUUUGUUAUCUUUGUAACAUACAACUGUCAAAAAAGGAGCUGCGGGUAUUUUUCAUUAAAAAGCAUUUGUUUAUUGAAUUAUUUUGUCUUAUUAGAGAGGUCUUUUAAAAUGUGUUUUCCAGUCCUGUCUGUAAAACUAAGUGUUGUCAUUAAGCACGUCUAAAUAGUUGUUCCAUUGCACUAUCCAUGCCCACAUCAACAAAAAAGUGAAAUAAAAAUAUUCAUUUUUUGCUUAUUUGAUAGCAGGUUUGCUCCCUAGUGAUGGGAUAUUUGAUAGAUUUUAGAUGACAA